UGGUGCUAUGUAGCAGGAACCCCUCUUGCUUUGCAAAUAGUUUUUUGUUUGUUUUCCUUUUUGCCCAAUAGAGCCCUGCUCUACUGACCCUUCAAUGUGCCCGUGUGCCUAAAUAUUCCUGGUCGUGUGAAAAGAACCCAGGUAUUAGCUGAACUAAGGAGCACAAUUCUGCAACAUUUUGGCACCCAAACACGGGGCUUGAGAAAUGAAUGCAAUUGGAGAAACUGGUUGUUUUACCAGGCGUUGAUUGGAAAUGUGUGCUUCCCUUUAAGCAGUCAAGCUCAACUUGCAGAACUGAUGGGAACCCCUUGGGAAAACUGGCCUCAAAUGUUUGUCUACACAGUCCACAUACAGGGUUCUUAACCUGCGGUGAGUAAAGAAUGUCACUUUCCAACAGGCCCAGAUAUCAUAUGCUCUUGGGACCUCAAGAAGAGAGGAGUUUACCCAAUUCAUAGUUUUUACCUACAUUUUAGACUGACCCUGCUUGUGCCUGUGAACCAACCAACAAUCUCUGGCUGCAGCUCAGAAAGGACAAAAGAGAAUGGAUGAGGGAAACUUCCCAGGGCUUGUCUGGGUAUGCCCACAGUGGACUGGAGCCCAAAAUGCACACUGGAGGAAGUGGAUGGAGCCACGUGGAUGUCAUGCCUUAUGCAGGGGAGGAGCCUGCUCUCUUCAGCUCCUGUGGUAAUGUGGGAAUCGAUCUGUGAGAUUCCAUGAACUCCAAGUUAAGAACACAUGAUCUGGAUGUUUGACAAAAUACCUUCAGCAGGAAUAAUGAAAGCCCUGACAUUUCUGUGUGCAUAAAAACUGGAAAACUUUAAAAGUAAUAAAUCACCAAGUCUUUAUAAAAA
rnacentral:lncRNA from 1 species